GGAGCUGUGGCUCCAUGGUAGAGCAUCUGCUUUGCAUGUGGAAAGUCUCAGGUUCAAUCCCCAGCAUGUCCA
rnacentral:tRNA from 1 species